rnacentral:rRNA from 1 species
UACGUAGGGUGCAAGCGUUGUCCGGAAUUAUUGGGCGUAAAGAGCUCGUAGGCGGUUUGUCGCGUCUGCUGUGAAAUCCCAGGGCUUAACCCUGGGCCUGCAGUGGGUACGGGCAAACUAGAGUGCGGUAGGGGAGAUCGGAAUUCCUGGUGUAGCGGUGAAAUGCGCAGAUAUCAGGAAGAACACCCGUGGCUAAGGCGGCUCUCUAGUACGGUACUGACGCUGAGACGCGAAAGCGUGGGGAGCGAACAGG